rnacentral:sRNA from 1 species
GCCAGGUGCAGUCGUGCACACCUAUAAUCCCAGCAGCUCAGGAGGCUGAGGCAGGAGGAUUGUGAGUUCAAAGCCAGUCUCAGGGAUUUAGUGAGAUCCUAAGCAACUCAGUGAGACCCUGCCUCUC